AGCAGCCGCGGUAAUUCCAGCUCCAAUAGCGUAUAUUAAAGUUGUUGCAGUUAAAAAGCUCGUAGUUGAAUUUCGAGACCGGCUUAUUGGUCGUGCUUUUGUACGUACUGGUAUAAUCGGUUUCUCCUUUCUGACGAACUAUAAUGCCAUUAAUUUGGUGUUAUAGGGAAUCAGGACUGUUACUUUGAAAAAAUUAGAGUGUUUAAAGCAGGCUCACGCUUGAAUACAUUAGCAUGGAAUAACGGAAUAGGACGUUUGAUUCUAUUUUGUUGGUUUCUAGGAUCGACGUAAUGAUUAAUAGGGAUAGUUGGGGGCAUUAGUAUUCAAUUGUCAGAGGUGAAAUUCUUGGAUUUAUUGAAGACUAACUACUGCGAAAGCAUUUGCCAAGGAUGUUUUCAUUAAUCAAGAACGAAAGUUAGGGGAUCGAAGACGAUCAGAUACCGUCGUAGUCUUAACCAUAAACUAUGCCG
rnacentral:rRNA from 1 species